rnacentral:lncRNA from 1 species
GAGUGUGUCUGGAUCGACAUAACACAGAAGGGGCGACCAAACUCACCUUCAACCCUAGUUCUAACAAAUUGAUCAAAUUAAAGGUUCAAAUCAAGCUCAAAUCGAAAUCCGAGCAUAGAUUAGUGAUCACCGCAGUAAAGGGAUCAUAAGGUAUAUAAAAUUUCAUGACUUGGCAAGGAAUCCGGAUCGUUAAGUGGAUAAGCCGGUGGAGACACGCGUUUGAAAGGAGCGCUUUAAAGGGCGAUAUUCCGGAUGGUGAUCAAGCAUAUAUCAAGAACCAAACACAAAGUUUUGAAGCUUCCACGCUAAUUUAAUCUUGUUUUAUACAAUGUUUAUUAUGUAAACACUAACUUAAUGUUGAAUGUUUUAGACUUGUUAGUUGUUUAAUUUAGAACACCAUAACUGUGUAAUCUUAGUUUUAUAUAACUAAGAUUUUUUUGAA